CAAGAGAGCAAACGUAGACCUUGUCAAUAAUCUGAUGCGAUCUGAAAGAUGACACUUUAUUUACUUAUCUUGCUCAGGGCUUAAUUCUGAAAUUCCACACAAAUUAAACUGUGAGUGAAGCAUAGUUUAUGGCCACAGGUGUGUAAGCAUAGGAAGCAGAAAGGUCUCCUCGCUCCUUCCAGUGGCCCUGUUGGCCUUUAACGAUCCACACCCCACGCUGAUUCUCCCCAAAUCAGUUGCUCCCACAAACUGAGCAGUUGAGAAACAGGCAGCUCAUCGUCACGAUCUUCUCAGAGACACGUCUGGAAAGCACUGUCCGUCAUCCUUGGCCUCACGAGCAGAAAGCUUGUGCUGCUGUGGUAAAAAGAAGCAUUACCAAAGCAACUUAGAGAAGGGUGAGUUUAUUGGGGCUUCCAGUACAUCUCCAUGGAGGAAUGCAGGCUUGGCAGCUGGAGCUGGAAGCCAAGAACUUACGUCUUGAACCACAAGCAGAAAGCAGAGAGUGAAUGGGAAUAGCACAGGGCUUUUGAAGCCUCAAAGCCCACCCCCAGUGACACACUUCCUCCAGCAAGGCCACACCUCCUAAACCUACCCAAACAGCACCACCGAUUGAGGACCAAGUAUUCAAAUGUCUGACUACCUGGGACUUCUCUGUCAAAUCACCACAAACUAAACGUCAUAAAAGUCAUGAAUUAAAUGACGAAGGGGGUGGGGUAAUAGAUGAUACAUCUCUAUGUGCAAAGCAUGACAUUGUAUGGGGUGGAGAACAUGCUGGGAAGGAAGCCAGGGCAUCUUCUAACUAGCCCCUCUGGCUUGAGUAGGUAGAAUGUCUUGAAGACACUCAUCCCCUGAAGGUCAGUGGCUUACGUCUUCCCAGGGAGGGGAGCUCUUUAAGGACUAGUCCAGAAGCCCACUGCUAAAUUUGGAAGAAUAAUUAAAGGGCAUUUUGCCAUUUCUUCUGCUUCCUUCCUUCAGAACUCUUUCACAUCUAAAGCAUGUAUCUAGAAAGAGCAGAAGAUACUAGGGUCAAGUACAUCUUACAAGAAAAUCGGAGUGAGUGGCUGAGCAGAUGUGGGGUGUGCCAUGAAACACUGAACCACAGGCUGGAAAGGUUCCAUCCUAGAAACCUACGUUUCUCUCCUCCCAUCCCUCUUGUAGCUGUCACUCUUGAUGCAAGUUGUGUUGACAAUAGCUUUACCAUGUGUGUGAGGGGGGAACUAGUUUAUUAAUGGCAGGGCUUGGGGAGCUUCACCCAUACCAGGCAUGGGUGUGGGAGUCCAAUACACAGCACUGUCAUCAUGGUCCUGACCCCUCCUGUGCCCCUUUCUCCUAACAGAGGAAGAAGGGUACAGAGUUAGCUUUGGGAGAGAUGAGUCUUCAAUUGUGGUGAACUUUGAACUUGGUAGCUACAAAUUUGGUAGCUUGCAAAAGCCAGACAUGUUAAAUGAACAUAAUAUCCAUAUUAGUAAAAAUGCCUUCAAUUACAGGUAUAAAAUCCAGUUGAACCAGCUUUUCCACAAGGAGGAUUUACAAGAAAUUCGUCUUGGAAAGUUGAGAGUGGCUCCGGGUUAAGACAGUCCUGAAGAGUCUGCCCCUUUUCUCUGUGUCUUACUUUUGCCUUCCCUCUGCUGACUUCUUUCUUAGACUCCUCUUCCAAUAGUGAAACAGGCUUCUGGAAACUUUAGACUCUCACUUUCUUCACAGCAAAGGAACCCAAAAGAAGAACCUUGCCCCAUUCUGAACAGUCCCAGCUCAGGGCAGACUUCUUCAGUCUUCUGAUCGCCUGCUCUCAUUUGGACACAGGCCUCCUUCCCCUCCCUACCUGUUCACUGAAGCAUCAUCACGUUCAGUGCUGUGCCUCUUAUCCUCUUGUGAUUCUUCCACAUAACAAUGGAUGAGUCCUUUACUGCUAACAUUGACUGCACCCCGUACAAUGAUUGCCUCCCCCAAAUAACUACAAGAUGAGGACUGGAGAGAAAGCUCAGUCUGUAGAGUGCUUGUCUAACAAACACAAUGACCUG